rnacentral:rRNA from 1 species
CCUACGGGAGGCAGCAGUGGGGAAUAUUGCGCAAUGGGCGAAAGCCUGACGCAGCGACGCCGCGUGAGGGAUGAAGGUCUUCGGAUCGUAAACCUCUGUCAGCAGGGAAGAACGGUCACUGUGCUAAUCAGCAGUGAAUUGACGGUACCUGCAAAGGAAGCACCGGCUAACUCCGUGCCAGCAGCCGCGGUAAUACGGAGGGUGCGAGCGUUAAUCGGAAUUACUGGGCGUAAAGCGCGCGUAGGCGGUAUGUCAAGUCAAGGGUGAAAUCCCCGCGCUCAACGUGGGAACUGCCUUUGAAACUGGCAAACUGGAGUGUGGGAGAGGAUGGUGGAAUUCCAGGUGUAGGAGUGAAAUGCGUAGAUAUCUGGAGGAACAUCAGUGGCGAAGGCGACUAUCUGGCACAUAACUGACGCUGAGGAGCGAAAGCGUGGGUAGCAAACAGGAUUAGAUACCCCUGUAGUC